GUUUCCCUCCAAAAAUCUCCCUAUUUUCGCCACUCUCUUAACCCUAACCAACUGUCUCGCUCUUUUGUCAGUUGCUAUUUCUGUUCCUUUCACUUCAAUUCCGCUCAAGUCUCUGUCUAAAGUUCGCUAAUUUUCCAGAGUUUUAAUAGCUUGGAUUUUGAUUUCGUUCUGCCGAUGAAUUGAGACCAUGGGUUCUCUCGCAGACGAUGAUGCCUAUACUAAACCAAUGCAAGAUAACCUAAAUCCCAAUUUCUCAUAUACCGAUACUCAGCCCUUUGAUUCUCAGAUUUUUCCCUCUUCCUUGCCUGAUGAAAAAGGUGGCAAUGCUAACAAGGUACAAUUGGUGCAAAAUACUGUACCUUUUGAUGACUCUGUUCCAGUUGAAGAUGCAUUCGAGACCCAAAUAGUUGAUCUUGGAGGUGAAACGCAAGUAAUGGAUGAUCCUGUUUGCCUUGAACACGUGGACACUCAAUUGAUAGAUGAUUUUAGCAGUGAUGGUGAAGGAACAGAUAAAACUGAAGUUUUGGAUGAUGGUGGUGGGUUCUCUGAUGAUGAAUGCAAGCGUGAAUCAUUGGAUGGGGAGAGGAGUUGGCAUACUUCUUUGGAACACAGUGAGGACAGAUUGGUGGAGCAACCCAAUGAAAACUGUAGUUCCAGACUUGAUGUUUCUUCUGAAACUCCGACUGGUCAAGUCAGCCAAGAACCAAUGCCUGGUUCUAUUGCAAGAUUUACUUCAGUCCGUGCAGCGUCUUUGCGAGCAUCUGGUCUAGCAGCUCGCAGACUUGCUUUGGAGGGAACCAACAGUGAGUCUCAUUCUCCCCAGGCUAAUAAUGGGCAUUCAGAAGAACAUGCUAUGAAAAAUAAUGGGUCAAAUGGAGAAGCUUGGAACGAAGUUGAUCAGGUGUGUGAUACAGGAACAGGAAGAUACAACAAUGAAGUGAAGGGAUUGAUAAAUGUGCAUGACUAUAAGAUUGGCCGUUCUGCAGUGAGAAAACUCUUUGAUGAGGAUUUCUUUGUUGAAAAUGAAGAACUUGCUUCCAAUAAUGAUAAUACUGCAGGUGUAAAAGAAAUGCAUCAGUUGCCCACUUGUGAUGAUGGUCUGGCUGGGUUGAGCUAUAUCGACUCCCAAGAACCUGGAGAAUCAUCACAAGCCAAUGCAUUUGCCUGUGUGCAAAGGUUGAUUGAAGAGAACAAGUCCUUGUUCAAUGAAUUUGACCUGGGAAAGAAUAGUAAGGGAAAACCAAAUUUUGUUUCAAUCGCAAAAGGGCCACAAAUUUUGGCCAAGAAAACCAAUGAUAGAGGCAUCAACGAGAAAACAGGAAUUUUUGACUGGGAUGAUGAACAAGAAGAUGAGGGAGGGGGAGAUAUAUUCUGUAGAAGGAAGGAAGAAUUUUUUCGUAGUACAAAUCUUGGGAAAAGAUCUUUUAUAAAAACCCAAAAGGCCAAAGGAAAACAACUAGGUGGAUGCAGAGAAAAUAAAAGAAAAUUGGAUGUCCACAAUGAAAUAGUUGUUCACUCUGAUUCUAAAAUAGUGCUGCAUAAUACAAAACUGAAUAAGAAGACAACACCAGAAGCUGAAAUGAAUAUUAGAAAGAAUCUAGUUAGCAAGUUUGAUGAACAGUCUAAUAUAGCAACUUCAGCAGGGCAAUUGGAAGCUGGUCUUGCCAGGAAUAAUAUGCCAGAGGGGCUUGAUGUAGGUUUGGACACUCAAAUGGCUGCUGAAGCCAUGGAAGCCUUGUUGUGUGGGAAUGGAAUUGCUAACUCUGAUGCUAAUAAUGUGCCAGGAAAUUCAGACUCUCAAAAAGGAUCUCCAGGAAGAAAAGUUGAGAAGAGUUCACUUUCAAAGCAAUGCUCUUUUGGUAAAGACUAUGAUAUUGAGGUUGCCCCAGUACAAUCUAAGAAAACAAAGAGGAUUGGUGCUAAAUCAAAAAAACGACCUCCAAGUUCACCACAGAAGCAUUCUGCGAUUGUCAGAAAUGAUUCUGAUAUGGAUCUAUUAAAGAGUAGGAGGAAGAGGGCUAAAUCUGAUGUUGAAGUCUCAGUGACCAAUAGGAUAAAAAGGGCAGCCAAAAUGCCAUCUAAAAUGGCGGAAGGAACUAUUGAAAGCAGCCUACAUGAUGCACGUGAUGGACAUCAUGGAAUUGCUUUAACUGGAAGUGGCUCAGUUAAGAAACAGAACUUACCAGAGGAAUUUGCUAAUUUGACACCCAUUGCUCAUCGAACUAGGAAUUCCUUGGUUGCCACUCAAUUGAAAAGAGCUGAGAAUGUGUCUAGUGGUUGUGGAGAAGAAGCAAACUGUACAAUCGAGAUUAGUGCCCUCAGACGAAAUGAAGCUGGUGACAGUGUUGAUGCUGAAGGUAAAUCUUCAGAAGUGUUUUUGGGACACUCUGGGGAGCUUGAAAAUUUCAAGUCGAAAUUGGCAGCUACAAGUAAUGGCAUCAGUUUCCCAAGAAGAAGAAGAUCUUGUCGACAAAAAUCAGGUCAGCUUAAUGGACUGGUCAAUUUAGAUGCUCAGUCCAAGGCAUCUAAUCAGCCAGGAAUUGUUGGAAAGUCUGCAAAUAUGCAUAAAAGGCCACAUAGCGAUGCUAAAACCACCAGUCUUGCUGAUUUAAACACAAAGAGAAAAACACAAUCCUCCAUUUCUGUUUGUCCAGACCCAUCUUCCUUGUACCAAAAUUUCAAAGGAGAACCAUCACCGAGAAGUGUAGAUAAAUCAGGUUCAGGCAAUGCUGUUCUCAGUUCUAUUUUCAUUGAGAAUGGGAAGAAGAAUUCUGUUGAUCAAAUGGGAGUAAAGGAAAACUUACCUGACAGAAAGAAUAAUGCAUAUUUAUCACCAUCUGCGAAACAUGAAGUAAUGUCAGAUCAUUUACCAAAUGAGGCAACUGAACCAUCAACUUCAAUGUGUACUUCCCCAGCUAACUGUACAACCCCUGUGAAUUCUGCAUCACCUGUCUGUAUUGGUAAUGAAUAUUUUAAGCAAUCAUGCAAAAAGAGGCUGUCAAGAUCAUGCCUCAUGAGAGAAGUUGUUAACUUAUGUGCCACAGGGCGAGAACCUAUUUCUGCACUAAAAGAUUCAAGGAAGAGAAGAGAUUUGGCUAAUGUUAGAGUCUUGUUCAGCCACCACUUGGACGAGAAUACAAUUAAGCAGCAGAAAAAGAUUGUGGACCGGCUUAGAGUUUCCAUAGCAUCCUCUAUUACAGAUGCAACACACUUUAUUACUGAUAAGUUUGUGCGUACAAGGAAUAUGUUAGAAGCCAUUGCUUCUGGCAAACCGGUGGUGACACAUUUAUGGCUUGAGAAUGUUGGACGGGCUAACUAUUAUAUUGAUGAGCAAAAAUACAUACUCAGGGACAUGAAGAAGGAAAAGGAGCUUGGAUUUAACAUGCCAGUUUCAUUGGCACAUGCACGUCAGCAUCCACUUCUGCGGGGUCGAAGAGUUUUUAUCACGCCCAGCAUAAAGCCAGGCAAAGAUAUAAUUUCAAACUUGAUUAAAACAGUUUGUGGUCAGGCAGUGGAGAGAGUUGGCAGAUCAACUCUUAAGGAUGAUGUGGUCCCAGAGGAUCUGUUGGUUUUAUCUUGUGAGGAGGAUUAUGAAGUUUGUGUACCUUUCCUCGAAAAAGGGGCAGCUAUUUACAGUUCAGAACUGCUACUGAAUGGGAUUGUUACUCAGAAGCUGGAAUAUGAAAGGUAAGCUCCAUUAUUAUUAGGAUUAUUACUUCCAUGAUGGGUACUGGAAUUAAAUGUUUUGCUCGCUGGUAGGCAGUCGUCAUCAGCACAUCCAUACUGUCAAAAUUGGAUGUUUAUAAUUGGCCUAACUAGUAAUUGUGUGUUUGUUUCUUGUGCUGAAGAAUGCCUUAAUUGGUCGGUUUUAAUGGCUACUUUUAAGCCUUGGCUUUAAUUGGGGCUUAAUCGAUAGCUGUGGAUGACAUGGAUCCUGCACCAGAGGGCUGAUUAAAGCGUGCAUGUUUGUGAUACAUAAUAAAUCUGCUGUUUGGUUUUUCUAACAGACUAUUACCUGAUGACAGGUAUCAGCUCUUUGCAGAUCAUGUGAAGAGAACUCGUUCUACAAUAUGGAUGAAAAAAGGAGGCGAUAGUUUCAUUCCUGUCACAAAGCAUAAAUAGCGCUUUUUUUUUUUUCCUUGGUAGGAAGGGGGGGUUUUCUUUCUUUUCCUUCCCUUUUUUUCCUCCAUCCACUUGCAUUUUGGUGUUGUGUUAUAUUAUGUAUAUAAAGCGGUCUGUUUUCUUGUAUAUAUAAGUUUCAAGCUGCAUAACGUAACACUUGAAAUGGAGAGUUUCUUUCUCUUUUCCCAUCUCUGUUUUAAUGUAAUUCAUAUCA
rnacentral:misc_RNA from 1 species